CCUACGGGAGGCAGCAGUGGGGAAUAUUGGACAAUGGGCGAAAGCCUGAUCCAGCAAUUCCGCGUGUGUGAAGAAGGCCUUCGGGUUGUAAAGCACUUUAGGUUGGGAAGAAAAAACUUCUCCUAAUACGAGAAGCGUUGACGGUACCAACAGAAUAAGCACCGGCUAACUCUGUGCCAGCAGCCGCGGUAAUACAGAGGGUGCAAGCGUUAAUCGGAUUUACUGGGCGUAAAGCGUGCGUAGGUGGUUUCGUAAGUCGGAUGUGAAAGCCCCGGGCUCAACCUGGGAACUGCAUUCGAUACUGCGAGACUCGAGUUUGGUAGAGGGUGGCGGAAUUCCCGGUGUAGCGGUGAAAUGCGUAGAUAUCGGGAGGAACAUCAAUGGCGAAGGCAGCCACCUGGGCCUGAACUGACACUGAGGCACGAAAGCGUGGGUAGCAAACAGGAUUAGAUACCCUGGUAGUCCACGCCGUAAACGAUGAGAACUUGACGUUGGUUCGUUUUACGAAUCGGUGUCGUAGCUAACGCGAUAAGUUCUCCGCCUGGGGAGUACGGCCGCAAGGUUGAAACUCAAAUGAAUUGACGG
rnacentral:rRNA from 1 species